rnacentral:misc_RNA from 1 species
AUUCUGAUUGACAAGGCACCGUAGGUAAAGCCGAGAUCCGCCCCCCUGGUUCACAUUAGGUCAUUGUGCCAGAUCCGACUGCAAACACAUACUUGAUUCCGAGAGAAAAUACCACGUUCUCUAAAACUUCGAUUGUGCAGCGUUAAGCAUAUCCUGGGAAACGAUUGUUGCGGGUUCAAUGGGAUGCUAAUGGUCUAGUCGGUAUACAUUGCUGUUAGCUGUUGAUUGUGGGUAUAUAUAGAUCUACACGGCUGGUGGGGAUAUACCGUGAUUUUUGACGAUUACAAUGGCAAGUGGUCUACGGAUUGCGCUGCUGCAGUUAUUGGCGAGAGAGAAAACGGCCAACAUUUUGCAGAAGGCUGAACAAUACAUCUCCGAGGCCGCUAACAAUGGCGCCAAACUCGCCAUUUUGCCGGAGCUAUUCACCACGGAGUGUCACCCGCCGAUCUUUGUGCAGAAGAAGGAAAGCAUACCGGAAGGAGAAACCAGCGAGUUCAUCUCUCACCUGGCCAAGAAACACAGCAUGCACAUCAUUGCAGGUUCUAUAGCAGAGGAAAUCAAGGGCAGUGAGAAAAUGAAGAACACUAGUGCUGUAUUCAAUCCGAAGGGGGAGUUAAUUGGAAAAUACACCAAGUCAAUUCACAGAUGCACAGCUUUGACGUGGACAUGGGAGAAAAUUUUUCCAUCCAUGAAUCGGACUGGUUUGAGCAUGGCAACAACACGUUAACUUUUGAAACGGAUGAGUGUAAAAUCGGGGUAGGAAUAUGCAUUGAUCUUCGCUUUCCGGAAGUAUCCAGAUACUAUACUGAACAAGGGUGUUUAUUGCACGUGUACCUUGGAGCGUUCAGUCAGGAGAAAACCGGCCCUGCACACUGGGACGUGCUACUCCGUGCACGUGCGAUAGACAACCAGGUGUACGUGGCGGCGUGUUCACCGGCCGCUGACCACACUCACCACUACGUGGCGUGGGGACACAGUGCUGUGGUGGACCCCUGGGGAAAGAUAAUAAGCCAGGCGGACGGGAAGGAGACGCUAAUCUACGCUGAUUUAGAUAUGAAUUAUUUGAAUCGAGUAAGACAACAACUGCCGGUAGAGAAAAUACGCCGCAAAGAUCUGUACCACCUUACUUACAAAUGGUAGACUAUGUUGCAAAUGGUUGUGAAAUGAUUGUUAUAUACAAUGUAUAUAAAUACCGCCUAGCAUUCAUAUGACGGUGAAAUAUAUACCAUACAAAACAGAAGUAGUGAUUUAUUGAAUGAUAUACCGGGUAUUGUGUUUUAAAAUAUUGGACGGAUACAUGGCUUCGUGACGUUAUCCAAUCCACCGUGAUUUUCAAGAUACAAGAAGGACAGGUAUAUUGACAAUCAGCUUGUGGCUCCUAAGCUUGUUAAUGUUGUACUGUUGGAUCUAAGUAUUGAAAUUAGUAUUAAUUGUGUUCAUGUAAAAAGUCGUUUAAUUCUUACCAUGCAUCAUGCCAAUGUAUUGAAUCAGUAAUUAUAUUCACAUGCACUCUGUAUAUCGUACUUGAACGGAUUCAGUAAUGUAUAAUUAUGAGAAAGAUCAGUGAAAUGUAUAAUUAUGUAUAAAUGUAAUAAAACAUCAACGUUAUGAAGACUGAUCAGAUUUUAUCACGGUUUUUAAACCCUCGUACCCAGGGAAAAUGUCCUGGAUCCGCCCAUGGUAUUCUUGAAUGUUUGACCUCAAGAAUAACUGUAACCUUACUUCUCUGUGGAUAAAUGAAUUGACUUUCAGUGUUUAUAUGAAGUGUUAUGCAAUUCUCUACAAACAUGUUACUGUACAUAUAAAAAAGCAAAGUUUUUAUGGGAUAUAUCUAAACAUUAUAUAGCAACCCUCUUUUCUGUCGAGGAAUUUGUACGAGUUUUCACGCGGUGAGAGGCAGAUAUUGGCCUCAAGCAUGAUUGCUUCUAGACUGUCUCAACGUGUACAGGCGCUGUCGUGUAUUCAGAACUACAGAACGGCAUCUUCAACUGACUCAAGAUCGAUUUGCUGAAACAACUCUGAAGUGACUUAUACAUCAGGGGUUAAUGCAUGCGUCCGUUGUGUUUGGAAUAAAUUGCUUUGAAACUGCG